rnacentral:tRNA from 1 species
UGGGCACCGUGGUGUAGUGGUUAUCACGUCAGUCUCACACACUGAAGGUCCCGGUUCGAACCCGGGCGGUGUCAU